rnacentral:tRNA from 1 species
GAUGCCAAGAUGGUAAACACUACCUAGAGACA